rnacentral:lncRNA from 1 species
AUGGGGCGGAUAUGGGGCAGCUAUGGGGCAGCUAUGGGGCAGCUAUGGGGCGGAUAUGGGGCAGCUAU